GCGUGCGAGGCGAAUACGGCUGGUCGCGGUUGCCUGUAAAGCAACAGCCCUUCGGGGCGAAGGGGGUUCGAAUCCCUCCGCACGCACCA
rnacentral:tRNA from 1 species